rnacentral:lncRNA from 1 species
AUUAACCAUUUACUAACCCGAUAUUAACCCGUUACUAACCCGUUACUAACCCGAUAUUAACCAUUUACUAACCCGUUCCUAACCCGAUAUUAACCAUUUACUAACCAUUUACUAACCCGAUAUUAACCCGUUACUAACCCGAUAUUAACCAUUUACUAACCCGUUACUAACCCGAUAUUAACCAUUUACUAACCCGAUAUUAACCCGUUCCUAACCCGAUAUUAACCCGUUACUAACCCGAUAUUAACCAUUUACUAACCCGUUACUAACCCGAUAUUAACCAUUUACUAACCCGAUAUUAACCCGUUACUAACCCGUUAUUAACCCAUUACUAACCCGUUACUAACCCGUUCCUAACCCGUUCCUAACCCGGAAUUAACAACCCAAAGCCGCCACAGAAAUCCCGGGUUAUUUUUUCCCAGGGGCGGGGCCGGGGGCGGGGCCAGGCAGGGGCGGCACCAUUUAACUUAAUUAAAUAAUUAACAGCAAGAGUGACUCGGGAAUUGAGCACAUUCCAGAGAAAACGUGGAGAGCGGCGGGACAGAGACAGGGAAGUCACAGCGGGACCCUGCACGGUCAUUAACACGAUUAAUUAAUUAAUUAAUUAACAUGACAAUUAAUCAACACGAUUAAUUAACCACUGGCAGCGAUUGGAGGUGGAUCUGGGAAUACACCGGGAUAAGGGCAGCUCCAAAUCCAUUUCCCGGGAUGGGACAGGGAUGGGACAGGGACAGGGAUGGGACAGGGAUGGGACAGGGAUGGGACAGGGACAGGGACGGGACAGGGACAGGGAUGGGGUCACAGGGGUCACAGCCAGACCCUACACGAUCAUUAACACAAUUAAUUAACCACUGGUACUAAUUGGAGGUGGAUUUGGGAAUACACCGGGAUUAGGGUGGCUCCGAA